CCGGAAUUGAAAGGGGAGCUUGCUUCCUGGAUUAGUGGCGAACGGGUGAUCAACACGUGAGUAACCUGCCCUCGGCACCGGGAUAGCCCGGGGAAACCCGGAUUAAUACCGGAUGGCCAUUCGAGCUCUCGGGCGCGAAUGAAAAGGUAGCUUCGGCCUCUGGCCGAGGAUGGGCUCGCGGCGGAUUAGCUUGUUGGUGGGGUAAUGGCCCACCAAGGCGACGAUCCGUAGCUGGUCUGAGAGGACGAUCAGCCACACUGGGACUGAGACACGGCCCAGACUCCUACGGGAGGCAGCAGUGGGGAAUAUUGCGCAAUGGGGGAAACGCUGACGCAGCAACGCCGCGUGGAGGAUGAAGGCCUUCGGGUCGUAAACUCCUGUCAGGUGGGAAGAAUAAGCUCCGGCUAACAACCGGAGCUCUUGACGGUACCACCGGAGGAAGCCCCGGCUAACUCCGUGCCAGCAGCCGCGGUAAUAAUC
rnacentral:rRNA from 1 species